rnacentral:rRNA from 1 species
UUAAGCAUAUCAAUAAGCGGAGGAAAAGAAACCAACAGGGAUUGCCUCAGUAACGGCGAGUGAAGCGGCAAAAGCUCAAAUUUGAAAGCCCUCGGGCAUUGUAAUUUGUAGACUGGGUGGAGCCAUGAAGUUCAAGUCCCUUGGAACAGGGCGCCUUGGAGGGUGACAGCCCCGUAGAACUUCGCGGCGCUUCGCCGCUCAGUUGACGAGUCGAGUUGUUUGGGAAUGCAGCUCAAAGUGGGUGGUAAAUUCCAUCUAAAGCUAAAUACCGGCGAGAGACCGAUAGCGAACAAGUACAGUGAUGGAAAGAUGAAAAGCACUUUGAAAAGAGAGUGAAACAGUACGUGAAAUUGUUGAAAGGGAAGGGCUUGCAAGCAGACACGGCCUCCGGGCCGGGCCAGCGUGGGUUGCCAGGGGUGGACAAGACGGCGGGAACUUACCUAGUGAGGUCCCGCUGGAAUACACCCACCGGCGUCUUUUUCUGGCGUAAUGGUUGCAAGCCGCCCGUCUUGAAACACGGACCAAGGAGUCUAACGUCUAUGCGAGUGUUUGGGUGAGUAAAACCCCCGGCGCGCAAUGAAAGUAAAAGAUUGGAGCUACGGCGCACAAUCGACCGACCCUGAAGUUUACGGAUGGGUUUGAGUAAGCAUGGCUGUUGGGACCCGAAAGAUGGUGAACUAUACCUGGAUAGGGUGAAGCCAGAGGAAACUCUGGUGGAGGCUCGCAGCGGUUCUGACGUGCAAAUCGAUCGUCGAAUCUGGGUAUAGGGGCGAAAGACUAAUCGAACCAUCUAGUAGCUGGUUCCUGCCGAA